GGUGAGGUACCGCGUCGCCGGCGGCCGGGCCGAGCGGAGCGGAGCGUUUCUUCCCCGUUUGAGUCGAUUGCCCGCUUUGCUGCACAAUAAAAGCUUCGUCAGCAGCGGCGGCGCGGGGCGGUUGAAAGAGGCGGUCCGGGUCAAAGCCGGCUCUGGCGUAAAGCACACGGUUCGUUUGAAGGCAGUAGUGUUUUGCAGCGCGGCUGAACUCGGCCGCUAUUUACAGGCCUAGAAAGCUGUAGAGGAACAUAGACUCCCAGUUUGGAAUAAUCUUCAAAAAUCCUUGCCUAAACAGUAAAGUGGGCUAAGGCAAAAUGUUUCCAGACUUCCUUUUCUCAGGUGGUUUGGUGUUUGGGGGUUUUUUUUGGUUACUUUCUGGAACUUAUUGCUAGCUUCGAACAUGUGUGAAUAAAUAACCAGCAGAC